rnacentral:rRNA from 1 species
CCUACGGGGAGCAGCAGUGAGGAAUAUUGGUCAAUGGGCGGGAGCCUGAACCAGCCAAGUCGCGUGAGGGAAGACGGUCCUAUGGAUUGUAAACCUCUUUAGGCGGGGAGCAAUGCCGGGCACGCGUGCCCGGAGGGAGAGUACCCGCAGAAUAAGCAUCGGCUAACUCCGUGCCAGCAGCCGCGGUAAUCCGGAGGAUGCGAGCGUUAUCCGGAUUUAUGGGGGUUAAAGGGUGCGUAGGCGGAUUUUUAAUUCGGCGGUAAAGGGUCGGGGCUCAACCCGGGCCGGCCGUUGAAACUGGGGAUCUUGAGUGGGCGAGAAGUAUGCGGAAGGCGUGGUGUAGCGGUGAAAUGCAUAGAUAUCACGCAGAACUCCGAUUGCGAAGGCAGCAUACCGGCGCCCGACUGACGCUGAGGCACGAAAGCGUGGGGAUCGAACAGGAUUAGAUACCCUUGUAGUC